rnacentral:rRNA from 1 species
UACGGAGGGUGCAAGCGUUGUCCGGAUUUAUUGGGUUUAAAGGGUGCGUAGGCGGUUCUUUAAGUCCGGGGUGAAAGCCCACUGCUCAACAGUGGAACUGCCCUGGAAACUGGAGAACUUGAGUACAGACGAGGGCGGCGGAAUGGACGGUGUAGCGGUGAAAUGCAUAGAUACCGUCCAGAACCCCAAUUGCGUAGGCAGCUGCCUAGGCUACAUCUGACACUGAGGCACGAAAGCGUGGGGAGCGAACAGG